CGUGGUUUAAUUCGAAGCAACGCGAAGAACCUUACCAAGGCUUGACAUCCCCCUGACCGAUUUAGAGAUAGAUCUUUCCCUUCGGGGACAGGGGUGACAGGUGGUGCACGGUUGUCGUCAGCUCGUGUCGUGAGAUGUUGGGUUAAGUCCCGCAACGAGCGCAACCCUUAUCUUUAGUUGCCAGCAUUCAGUUGGGCACUCUAGAGAGACUGCCGGUGACAAACCGGAGGAAGGUGGGGAUGACGUCAAAUCAUCAUGCCCCUUAUGUCUUGGGCUACACACGUGCUACAAUGGUUGGUACAAAGGGCUGCAAGCCAGCGAUGGUAAGCCAAUCCCAUAAAGCCAAUCUCAGUUCGGAUUGUAGGCUGCAACUCGCCUACAUGAAGUCGGAAUCGCUAGUAAUCGCAGAUCAGCAUGCUGCGGUGAAUACGUUCCCGGGUCUUGUACACACCGCCCGUCACACCACGAGAGUUUACAACACCCGAAGUCGGUGAGGUAACCGCAAGGAGCCAGCCGCCUAAGGUGGGGUAGAUG
rnacentral:rRNA from 1 species